rnacentral:rRNA from 1 species
CCUGAGAAACUCAAAAGAUCGAAUGGGGAGAUUCAUCGUCAGCGAUACCGGGACGCGGAGGGCUCGCGAUGCCGCGGGCCACGGCCCGUCGACACGCGUCCGCGCGCGUCCGUUGACCCGGAUGUCGUCGGCGUGCACUCCUCCCCUAGUAGGACGUCGCGACCCAUUGGGUGUCGGUCUACGGCCCGGGUGGGAGCCUGUCGCGCGCAACGCCUCRCGGCGUUGCGCAGNANACCCCGACCAGCUACCCGGCGGUACUCGCACGGUAUCGGGCCGCAAGUAUUCGAACUGCAUCCGGCCCGCCACAAGCUUGGCCAGUGACGAACCCGGAUGUUACGGACCGAGCGCCGUCACCGGGCCUGGCCGGCUGUUGGUAGGCGGUGUCCUGAGACUCGGCUCACAAAAAACAUUAUUACCGGUCACGCGACGCUACUGCUUUGGGUACUUUCAGGACCCGUCUUGAAACACGGACCAAGGAGUCUAACAUGUGCGCGAGUCAUUGGGAUUUGUGAAAGCCUAGAGGCGCAAUGAAAGUGAAGGUCGGCCUGGCACCGACCGAGGGAGGAUGGGCCGCGUCGCGACGCGGUCCCCGCACUCCCGGAGCGUCUCG